UCCCCUAAAAAUAUUCUCUCCUCAGUUUCGUGCGGCUUUCCUGCUCCUGCCUAACCUGUUACUGCCAUUGCGCGUUGACGUACGGUACUACAUUUGCUCAUUUGAUGAAUACUAUAAAUUUAUUUGGCCAGUGAAGCAAAUAUGUUCAUGAAUGUUUUUCUCUAUGGUUCUCCUUUGGCAAGAAAUUUGAUACAUGUUCCUUCUGAAAAACACUAGGACUUAUUUAUUAAUUAUUAAUCCCAGUGAGACAGCAUGCAAGAUACUCCCUCCGUUUCUAAAUAUAAGUCUUUUUAAACAUUUCAAAUGGACAACAACAUAAGAAUGUAUGUAGACAUAUUUUAGAGUGUAUAUUCACUAAUUUUGCUCCAUAUGUAGUCACUGGUUAGAAUCUUUACAAAGACUUAUAUUUAAGAACGGAGGGAGUACUAUAUAGGAUUCACAUGAGGAAUUUUUCUCUGCGAUUAGUAUGGUAGUGCAAACUAGCACAAAAACAAACAAACAAAAAUGUAGAUAUAUUCAGUAGACAGUACUGUUUCUCGUCAAAAAGAAGAAUAGUAUGGUACUAGUGCUAAGCACACAGGGGUUGUUAUACCAACCAGAUGAAUUUUCCUUUCUGAGAGGACCUACCAGUUGUUGAAAGCAACUUGUAUCCACAUGGUCUGCACUUCAAUAGAGUUAUAGACCUAAGCACUUCAUUACGCGUCUUGCUUUGAGUUAAGUUUGUCGCAAGCCAUCAAGCAAUGUGUUCCUUUGGUUGUGCAGGUUCUAAGCAUGGGAGGAUCGGAACGACGAACAACCACAAGAUCCGUAGAUCGCUUCAGACCUUAAAAGUGAAAGUCAGUCUUUAGGGUUGUGUAAUUGCGUUGGUUUUUCAGUGCUAGGGAGUUGGUGUGUUUGUUAGAAGCUCAGAAUGCAGCUCCUGGCUUGCAAUUCUCGCGUGUCCUAAUCUGUUCUACUAAAGUUUUAUCCUUCGUUCGUCUUACCGUGUAGGUACUGUGCGUCUGAUGUCUGUGUCUUAUAGUCCGAUAAUCUCUUAAUCUCUUGUCAAGAUUGUAGAAUGUAUUUGACUUCCCUAAUAUAUUGGCAUAUUUGUUAAUUUCCUGUGAUUGUAGCUUUUGGCGAGAAUUCAUUUGAGCACUUGAAUUUUUUUUCACAAGUUUAGAAAAUCAACUAAUUAUGGGGUGUCUGGAUCAACAA
rnacentral:lncRNA from 1 species